CUCUUAUCAAGAGCGGCGGAGGGACUGGCCCGAUGAUGCCCGGCAACCUGCAAGUGUAACUUUAACUUGUAUAGGUGCUAAUUCCUGUAGAUGAGAG
rnacentral:ncRNA from 1 species